GGGAACCUUUGAGAGAGACGGACGGAGUACGGCGUUGCAAACCCCAGAACCGGCCUGAUUAUCAAGAAGGUGUUGCAGCAGGACGAGGAAGUUGAUCGACAAAGGCAGGGAUUUCUGUAGGUCUGAUGAGCUUUCUUCUCCGCAUGGAUGGUGAGGUCACACAGGACUUGGGUGCUGGCAGGAA